UCAGAACGAACGCUGGCGGCAUGCUUAAUACAUGCAAGUCGAACGAGAAAGUCACUUCGGUGGCGAGUAGAGUGGCGCACGGGUGAGUAACACGUAGGUGACCUGCCUUUUAGUUUGGGAUAACCAGUGGAAACGCUGGCUAAUACCGCAUAAGCUUAGCAAAUUUGAAAGUAGCUAAGGAAAGAUUGCCUCUAUACUAUGCUCUCGCUUUAAGAUGGGCCUGCGGAACAUUAGCUUGUUGGUGGGGUAAUGGCCUACCAAGGCGAUGAUGUCUAGCUGGUCUGAGAGGAUGAUCAGCCACACUGGAACUGAGACACGGUCCAGACUCCUACGGGAGGCAGCAGUAGGGAAUAUUGCGCAAUGGGGGAAACCCUGACGCAGCAAUGCCGCAUGAGUGAGGAAGGUCUUAGGAUUGUAAAGCUCUGUCAGCGAGGAAAAACGGCAUUAUGGUUAAUACCCAUAGUGUUUGAUGGUACUCGCAAAGGAAGCACCGGCUAACUUCGUGCCAGCAGCCGCGGUAAUACGAAGGGUGCAAGCGUUGUUCGGAUUUAUUGGGCGUAAAGCGCGCGCAGGCGGAUUUGUAAGUCAGAUGUGAAAUCUCGGGGCUCAACCUCGAAACUGCGUCUGAAACUACUAAUCUAGAAUCUUGGAGAGGGAAGGGGAAUUUCAUGUGUAGGGGUAAAAUCCGUAGAGAUAUGAAGGAACACCAGAGGCGAAGGCGCCUUCCUGGACAAGUAUUGACGCUGAGGCGCGAAAGCGUGGGGAGCGAACAGGAUUAGAUACCCUGGUAGUCCACGCCGUAAACGAUGUGCACUAGAUAUGGGGGGAUUGACCCCUUCCGUGUCGCAGCUAACGCAUUAAGUGCACCGCCUGGGGAGUACGGUCGCAAGACUAAAACUCAAAGGAAUUGACGGGGGCCCGCACAAGCGGUGGAUUAUGUGGUUUAAUUCGAAGCUACGCGCAGAACCUUACCUAGGCUUGAAAUCCUACGAAUCUGAUAGAGAUAUCGGAGUGCCUUUCGAGGAAUGUAGUGACAGGCGCUGCAUGGCUGUCGUCAGCUCGUGUUGUGAAAUGUUGGGUUAAGUCUCGCAACGAGCGCAACCCCUAUCUUUAGUUGCCAGCAUUAAGUUGGGCACUCUAGAGAGACUGCCCGGGCUAACCGGGAGGAAGGUGGGGAUGACGUCAAGUCCUCAUGGCCCUUAUGUCUAGGGCUACACACGUAAUACAAUGGUACGCACAGAGGGACGCGAACUCGCGAGGGGAAGCAAAUCUCAAAAAACGUAUCUCAGUCCGGAUUGGAGUCUGCAACUCGACUCCAUGAAGUUGGAAUCGCUAGUAAUCGUGGAUCAGCACGCCACGGUGAAUACGUUCCCGGGCCUU
rnacentral:rRNA from 1 species